rnacentral:rRNA from 1 species
UACGUAGGCAGCAAGCGUUGUUCGGAGUUACUGGGCGUAAAGGGUGUGUAGGCGGUUGUUUAAGUUUGGUGUGAAAUCUCCCGGCUCAACUGGGAGGGUGCGCCGAAUACUGUAUGACUAGAGUGCGGGAGAGGUGAGUGGAAUUCCUGGUGUAGCGGUGAAAUGCGUAGAUAUCAGGAGGAACACCGGUGGUGUAGACGGCUCACUGGACCGUAACUGACGCUGAAACACGAAAGCGUGGGUAGCAAACAGG